UUGAUAUGCUUCUGCAAUUGC
rnacentral:piRNA from 1 species